rnacentral:rRNA from 1 species
GCGAACGGGUGAGUAACACGUGAGCAACCUACCUUACACAGGGGGAUAGCCGUUGGAAACGACGAUUAAUACCGCAUGAGACCACAGAAUCGCAUGAUAUAGGGGUCAAAGAUUUAUCGGUGUAAGAAGGGCUCGCGUCUGAUUAGCUAGUUGGAAGGGUAAAGGCCUACCAAGGCGACGAUCAGUAGCCGGUCUGAGAGGAUGAACGGCCACAUUGGAACUGAGACACGGUCCAAACUCCUACGGGAGGCAGCAGUGGGGAAUAUUGCACAAUGGGGGGAACCCUGAUGCAGCGACGCCGCGUGAGCGAAGAAGGUUUUCGAAUCGUAAAGCUCUGUCCUAUGAGAAGAUAAUGACGGUAUCACAGGAGGAAGCCCCGG